AGAGAAGUAGAAGGAGCUGAGAGUCAGAGGUGGGGAAGAGUGGACAAACAUCAGAUUGGCAAACCAACUCCUGCUCUGCCCUGAUGAAUCUCUUCUGGGUUCUCUGUGCUCUGCUUGCAAAUCACUGGUGUUUGGGUGAAGACAAAGAUUCAGAGCUUUGCACUUCUACAGGUGAACUUCCUGCUCCUG